rnacentral:tRNA from 1 species
GCCUUCGUGGUGUAGUGGUCAGCACACUCGGCGCGUAUUCUAGAGGCUCGUGGUUCGAUUCCCGGCGAGGGCC